rnacentral:misc_RNA from 1 species
UUGCGGGGUAGCAAUAGGUAGGCCUACGCAUUACACAGAUGAAGCAAGGUAAUUUUAGAAAGCAUAUUACCAACAUUAAAACUUUAAAAUGGCUAAAACGUGUAUAAAACGAGCAAUUUCAUCAAAUAAGCUAAGCUAUGUAUGUAUUUCUAUACCAAGAAUACCGCCAAUAACCAUGUAAAUGAGUUGCCCUCGUAGGCCUUUUACUAGCCUCCAGGCUAAAACAACAGACAGGGAGAGGGCCUCUCACCGGAGACAACAAAAAUAGGUCCUGGGGAAUUCUUCCCAACAUUUUGACGAAUGCCUAGUGCAGUUCUCCUGUCCAUGGAACCCUUUCAGGUUGGUUUGCGAAACGAAAAUGGCCGUGAUGAAGAUCGGUUGUGGACAGCCCUCUACGACUACGAUGCGGCAGGUGAGGACGAACUAUCAUUGCGUCGGGGAGAACAGGUGGAAGUGCUCUCCAAAGAUGCCAAAAUAUCAGGGGACGAGGGAUGGUGGACAGGAAAAAUUGGCGAAAAGGUUGGGAUUUUUCCCAGCAAUUUCGUGACACAGUGCGUAGGAAAUUCUAAUCGACCAUUUGAAAUAAAGUUUUCUGAAUUAGAACUAGAAGAAGUGAUUGGUGUUGGGGGUUUUGGGAAAGUGUACAGAGGAUUUUGGAAAAGUGAAGAAGUUGCAGUGAAAGCUGCUCGACAAGACCCAGAUGAAGAUAUUAGUGCUACAGCACAGAGUGUGCGACAAGAGGCUAAAAUAUAUUGGCUCCUAAAUCAUCCAAACAUUGUUACAUUGAAAGGUGUUUGUCUUGAGGAGCCCAACUUGUGUUUAGUAAUGGAAUAUUCAAGAGGUGGACCUCUGAAUCGUGUACUUAGUGGACGCACAAUUCCUCCAGAUAUUUUAGUUGGCUGGGCAAUACAAAUAGCACGGGGAAUGAACUACUUACAUUCUGAGGGUCCAAUUUCACUUAUUCAUCGAGAUUUAAAAUCAAGUAAUGUUUUGUUGAGUGAGCCAUUGGAUACUGGUGACCUAAAGCAGAAAACUUUGAAGAUCACAGACUUUGGACUAGCCAGAGAAUUGUAUAAAACCACUCGAAUGUCAGCAGCUGGAACAUAUGCCUGGAUGGCACCAGAAGUCAUAAAGUCCUCAACGUACUCCAAAGCUAGUGAUGUUUGGAGUUAUGGUGUGCUUCUGUGGGAACUAUUAACUGGGGAAACACCUUACAAGGGUUUUGACACAUUUGCUGUUGCCUAUGGUGUUGGUGUUCAAAAACUUACAUUGCCAAUCCCCUCUACCUGUCCUUCUCCCUUUUCAAGAAUAUUGAAAGAAUGCUGGAAUAUUGAUCCUCACAGCCGACCAACAUUUGUCAACCUUCUUACUGACUUAGAAGUCAUAGCUCAAUCUCCAUUCAUGAGCACACCUCAGGAAUCAUUCCACACCUUACAGGAGGAUUGGAAACAUGAGAUUGGAGAGAUGUUUCAUGAGUUGAGGUGCCGUGAUAAGGAAAUAAGGUGUAGAGAAGAAGAACUGAGUAAAGCUAUCAUUCAGCAAAAGAUUCAGGAAGAAAUGUUGAAGAAGAGAGAACAGGAACUCGCCGAGAGGGAGUUCUACGUCUUAGAAAGAGAACUCAGUAUCAUCUUUAUCCAGCAGCAACAGGGAAGACCAACUCCUAAGAAAAGGAAAGGAAAAUUUAAAAAAAGUAGACUCAAACUGUUAAAACAUGGAAGUCAGCAAAUUAGCAUGCCAUCAGACUUUCGGCACAACAUCACUGUACAACCCAGUCCUACAAUGCGAUCAGAUCUGAAGUCUCUGCUUAUGCCCUCUAGUCCAGAAAGUCCUCCAGCCUCACCUAAUCACCCUCGGUUACGAGCUUAUGCAUUGCCAGCUGAUGGUGUUAAGGGUAAAACCUGGGGGCCCAGUACCGUCCACCAAAAAGAGCACGGGUAUUCCAGACAAAGGUUAUUAAUAGAUGAAAAUAAACGUUGGUCAAAGAGUGCUCCAAACCUUGAAAAGUCACAGCGUGGGACUUUUCCAGUAGGAGGAGUUUCUAAUAUUGGAGCACUUCAUGAGAUUGGAGUAGAAGAAGAAUUGCAUGACAAUAUGGGGUCUCCUCGACACUGUGGAUCUUACAAUGGAACAGUAGCUACGGACUCUGGAAGCGUAAAGAGAUGUGGCCGUAAGCUGGUUGACUCUGUGUUAUGCAAUCUUGGUGCCAUGUUGGCUGGAGUUGGUGCUGGAUUUGAUGUCCGCACAGUCAACCAGUCUCAUCUCCACCCUCGAUUGACUCCUUCCAGAGCAGAGGAGAAAGAAGAAGAGCGUCGGUGGUGUUACCGAGAUCCUGAUUCAUCAUAUUGCGUUGGACCUGAAUAUGAUUUCUCUUCUGCUUCUGGCUAUGCUCACAACACUUAUCAUGGGCAAACCCGGCACUAUAGGCCUAGCAUCAGCUUUGAAGUUAGUGGAUCUCCUCUGCGGUUCACAGAUUCUCCUCAGCACAAUCCAAGUAUUGGAUCUGGUGGAUCCCACAACCUUCAUGCUCAAAGCCCACGACGAAAAUCUUCUAGUGCCAGUAAUGACAGUGAGCAUGUUUUUACCAGUUCUAGCUCAGGCAUAGGUCCUUCACCCAUGGGCAUGCCACCUCCUAUGGGAGAAAGGUACUUGGAUUAUAAUCGUCAAGAUAGCUACCCGGCUGUACACAACCAUUACACUGAAUAUGGGUCACAUUACCACUACCACCCAGAAUACAGAGGCCCAGGCUUGGAGUCCAAUUAUUACAUUGAAAGGUUUUAUCAAGAUUAUUCAAGGCCAGAAGUUUAUCAUGUUGAAAGGAUUUAUCCUGAUUUUAUGCGCCAUCAAGAAGGCUAUCAUGCUUAUGAGAACCCCACCUCAUCUGUUCCUUCAGGAAACCCUCCAACUGCAAGCUCAGCCCAACCUUGGACUCCUCAGAGAAUGGUUUACGGACAUCGUCGAACUUCAUCCAAUGUAUCUAAUGCCUCAAAUACAUCAUCAUCAAACAUAAAUCCUUCAUUCCAUAUGGAUGACCAUGAACAUAAUAUACCUCAUCCACCAACACCACCUCCUCCAUCCCACUCUUUGGGUUAUCACUAUCCCUCACAACUUCCCCAGUUAGAUACUCCAAGACGUCAAACCAGUGUGGACUCCUUCCCCGAUCGACCUCUUACUCUAGACAUUCCAGGAAGAUACCGCCCAACUCCUAUUUUUAAAGUCAAAACUAAUGUAGGACGAACCUCACCACAAGGGUGGGCACCUUCUUCCAGUGGAGGUGGGACUCCAACCAACUCUAAUCCCCCUGAUUCCAACACAUGGAUAACAUCUGGGGAGAGUUGCAGUAUCUCCCGUGUUCGUUUUCAAGUGGGAGGCAGUCAUGAAGAACCUACACGAAUUAGUAGAGCAAUAGGAACUUCUGGAAAUGAUAAAACCCUGCUUGACCUGCCAGCAGAAGGUCAAUCUCAGGAUGGAACCAUUCCACUUACUGCCAGAAUGCAACUUUCUAUAUAUAAAAAGCAGAGACUGGCUUUUCAAGAUAGGGAAAAAGAUUUUUUGCCAUAAUGUAAAGUUUCUUAUAUUUCAGAAAGUCAUCACAAUGACACCUGUAGAGUGACCCAAGUUCUAACAUUAGUAUGCUGAAUUAGUGAUAAUACUUAAAAAAACAAUAAUUCAUUCUGUAUUUAAACAUUUUAUCAAGUAUUUACCUAUAACAUUCCAUCACAGGUACUUUUAAUAAAGUUGGCUGCUCACAGGUAACUCUCAUUCAUUAAGGGAUGUGGUAUUCCUCUUUUGCAGGUUGUGAACUACUGAUAGGAUAACUUUCUCUAUGUACAUAUAAGUAAUCUUAAAGCAUAGGCUUAAACUUUCUUCUUACUUAAUCCUUGCAUACAAAUUAAUGAAAUUACUAAAAAGGUCACAAACAAGUUUAACAUUUUCAUAACUUUUCACUUAUCACUAGACAAAAAAAGAAUCUGUAAAACCAUGGCAUUUUAAAAAAAAUCAGGUGCCAAGAAACU